rnacentral:sRNA from 1 species
AGAAGUGUGUGGUUUUCGUUUUACAAAAACAGAGUGAAAUAUAGAGUAAGACAAAACAGAGUAAAAUUUGUGUUGUCCGAUCCUUAACAACUUUGAGAGUUCAAAGUUCUAUAUAAGAUAUGAGCCUCUCCACCUAUUGUCAAUUAGUUUUAGGUUGGAAGCUCACAGUCUAAUAUGGUAUUAGAUCCCAAUCUGCACAUACUCAACCCAAUCCACAUCGGUCCGACCCAAUAUUUGGCCCGUCGAUCCAUGCCCAAACAUAUAGAGAUCAAUAGCUGGAAGAGCCAUCAUCUCGAGUGAGUGUAUUAGGGAUAUUAUCUCACAUUAAAAAUUGAGUAGGAUCUUAAGUGAUAUAUAUAAGAUAUGAACCUCUCCACUCAUUGUCAAUUGGUUUUAGGUUAGAAGCCCAGACAAAGUGUUACACAAUCUGGUAGAAUAACUAGAGAACAUGAGGGAAAUUUAAAAUUUCGUUGCUCUCAGAAACCAUCAAAAUUUGAU